AUUGAACGCUGGCGGCAGGCCUAACACAUGCAAGUCGAGCGAGCGGCGGACGGGUGAGUACUGUCAGGGAAACUGCCAGAUGGAGGGGGCUACCUACUGGAAACGGUAGCUAAUACCGCAUACCAUCAGAUGUGCCCAGGUGGGAUUAGCUAGUAGGUGGGGUAACGGCUCACCUAGGCGACGAUCCCUAGCUGGUCUGAGAGGAUGACCAGCCACACGGGAACGUAGACACGGUCCAGACUCCUACGGGAGGGAGCAGUGGGGAAUAUUGCACAAUGGGCGCAAGCCUGAUGCAGCCAUGCCGCGUGUGUGAAGAAGGCCUUCGGGUUGUAAAGCACUUUCAGCGGGGAGGCGUUACCCGCAGAAGAAGCACCGGCUAACUCCGUGCCAGCAGCCGCGGUAAUAC
rnacentral:rRNA from 1 species